UUUUUCAGUGAAUGGUGCUAGAAGUGUUCCAGUGACAGAGUUAAUGUGGCAAUGCAAGGCCUGCCCAUUAGUUUUACCAAAGCAUAAAGUGAAGUGGGACCAUGACAGCUCAGGCCAUUUUCAGAGUUAUCCUUGGACCAGACAGUAGUCAGAGGGUCAUGAUUUCUGCUGGUUUGCCUUCAACUGUUGCUGAACUGGAGACUGAAAUAAAGACUCAAUGUAAAAUA